rnacentral:lncRNA from 1 species
ACGCCCCCUCAAAAAUUAUCCAUGAUAUUAAAACAAUUUCAUCACAAACCAAUCCAGGAUCCAAACUAACAUUUGAGGACACUGAAAACAUUCUAUCAAAUUCACAUCUAUAAAACCUGUGCAAUUUAUAAUCAUAUAUCACAUCACUCGAUAAUUCACAUUUAUGGCAACCCAAGCCAACUUGACAAACAUGAACAACAUUUAUAAAUCCACAAGCUAAAUAAAUUAUACAAUCAGAACUCCAACUACACCACAAGUUCAUAUCGUCAUAAAUUAGACUUAACAUUCCGAAAUUCCAAAUAAGAGAGAUCUUCUAACACUUUUACACAGUAUAUCCAUUUCGAUUCAUCAACAACAUUUCAUUACAUACAAAAUAUGCUUACACAACAAUAGCAUAACAAUCAACAAGACUUGCCCAUAAUUCUGAAUAGCUAUCCACUGCCUCAGCCCAAAUCAAACAUCUCAAAUGGUGACAAGCUGACCUGAAAGAUUUAUAUAAUAACGGAAUGAGCUAAAAAUAGCUCAGCAAGUGACAAAGCAUAUUCAGAACAAAAGGAAUGGUUUCAAACAAGUAAGGUAUCAUAAUGCAAGGCAGAAUACAAGAAUUCUCAAGGAUACCAUUUCAUUAGAUACAAAAUCAUAUGUAUCAUGUCAUUCAAAACAUAUUUGAUUCAUAACAAAUGGAGCAUAGAGUAAUUGGAGCAUAUCAAUAGCGUACGAGAUGUUCCGGAGCAUAUUAAUGGCAAAUGGUACAUUUC